GGAAUCCAAUGGCAGCUACAAUCCUGUAAUUAAAGAACGUCAAUGUUAAUCCAUACCUUUUCAUAUAAUUAAAAUAAUAAUAGUGGUAUUUCAUAUGUAGAAGGUGGGAUAUUAAUUAUUGACAAUGGUUACUCAAGAAUUGUACUCUAUUACUACUUGUACCUUAAAUUAGUAACACAAAUGAUAUUAAAAACAAUAUCAUCAAUAACAAUAUCUUUUUUAUAUAUAUUAAAAAUAAAUUCAAACUCGUUUUCUACUAGGUUCGAGUCCCACUGCUUCAAUCCCCUACUAAAAAAAAUUCAGACUCCAUACUAAAAUAAAUCUUCAAUUGUUGGCCAGUGUACUCUCAUAUCAGGUCAACCCCAGCAAUAGGUCCAAGCUAAAUGAGUGUAUUCAAAUUGCAGUACUUUGGGACCAAACUGGGUGAAUCUCUACCUGAUUAAUUAGGAUUGAAGAACUGCAGCGGAACUUAUCUCCACAUUAUUUAACGACCAAUGGUGUUUUUGCAAAUUGCAACAGAAGCCUCUCUUGAGGAAAAAAAAUUUUGGUAUAUUUGAAAUUUUAAAAGAAAAGAAGUUGGCAAGGGUAUGCAGUCGAUCGUUUAAUUACUAGCUCCUAUC
rnacentral:misc_RNA from 1 species